CAAGUCGUGCGGUAACGGGGAGGGGCUUGCCUCUCUGCCGACGAGCGGCGGACGGGUGAGUGAUAUCUGGGGAUCUGCCUGAUGGAGGGGGAUAACCACUGGAAACGGUGGCUAAUACCGCAUAAUGUCUCAGGACCAAAGCGCGGGACCUUCGGGCCGCGUGCCAUCAGAUGAACCCAGACGGGAUUAGCUGGCUGGUGAGGUAAAGGCUCACCCGGGCGACGAUCCCCAGCUGGUCUGAGAGGAUGACCAGCCACACUGGAACUGAGACACGGUCCAGACUCCUGCGGGAGGCAGCAGUGGGGAAUAUUGCACAAUGGGCGCAAGCCUGAUGCAGCCAUGCCGCGUGUAUGAAGAAGGCCUUCGGGUUGUAAAGUACUUUCAGUCAGGAGGAAGGUGGUGGAGCUAAUAAUUCCAUCAGGUGACGUUACUGACAGAAGAGGCACCGGCUGACUCCGUGCCAGCAGCCGCGGUAAUACGGAGGGUGCAGGCGUUAAUCGGAAUUACUGGGCGUAAAGGGCACGCAGGCGGCUGAUUAAGUCAGAUGUGAAAGCCCCGGGCUUAACCCGGGAACAGCAUUUGAAACUGGUCGGCUGGAGUCUCGCAGAGGGAGGCAGAAUUCCAGGUGUAGCGGGUGAAAUGCGCAGAGAUCUGGAGGAAUACCGGUGGCGAAGGCGGCCUCCUGGACGAAGACUGACGCUGAGGUGCGAAAGCGUGGGGAGCAAACAGGAUUAGAUACCCCUGGUAGUCCACGCUGUAAACGAUGUCGAUUUGGAGGCUGUGCCCCUUGAGGUGUGGCUUCCGCAGCUAACGCGUUAAAUCGACCGCCUGGGGAGUACGGCCGCAAGGUUAAAACUCAAAUGAAUUGACGGGGGCCCGCACAAGCGGUGGAGCAUGCGGUUUAAUUCGAUGCAACGCGAAGAACCUUACCUGGUCUUGACAUCCACGGAAUGCUGCAGAGAUGCGGCGGUGCCUUCGGGAGCCGUGAGACAGGUGCUGCAUGGCUGUCGUCAGCUCGUGUUGUGAAAUGUUGGGUUAAGUCCCGCAACGAGCGCAACCCCUGUCCUUUGUUGCCAGCGGUACGGCCGGGAACUCAGAGGAGACUGCCAGUGAUAAACUGGAGGAAGGCGGGGAUGACGUCAAGUCAUCAUGGCCCUCACGACCAGGGCUACACACGUACUACAAUGGCGCAUACAAAGGGAAGCGACCUCGCGAGAGCAGGCGGAACUCAUAAAGUGCGUCACAGUCCGGACUGGAGUCUGCAACCCGACUCCACGAAGCCGGAAUCGCUAGUAAUCGUGGAUCAGAAUGCCACGGUGAAUACGUUCCCGGGCAUUGUACACACCGCCCGUAU
rnacentral:rRNA from 1 species